CAGCAGCCGCGGGAAUACGGAGGGUGCAAGCGUUAUCCGGAUUUCUUGGGUUUAAAGGGUCCGUAGGCGGAUCUGUAAGUCAGUGGUGAAAUCUCACAGCUUAACUGUGAAACUGCCAUUGAUACUGCAGGUCUUGAGUAAAUUUGAAGUGGCUGGAAUAAGUAGUGUAGCGGUGAAAUGCAUAGAUAUUACUUAGAACACCAAUUGCGAAGGCAGGUCACUAAGAUUUAACUGACGCUGAUGGACGAAAGCGUGGGGAGCGAACAGGAUUAGAUACCCGCGUAGUCCCUGUCUCUUAUAC
rnacentral:rRNA from 1 species